AAUGCCCUACUGUGCUCGUGAUGCCGCAACAUGGUUUUGAGCCAACAUCCACUUAUCGGAUCCCAGUCUUACGGGCGUGACGCGAUAGGCCUGAGCCAAGGCGGAGCUCUCGAGGCGGGACCCAACUUGCGAAGGCAGGUUCAAAACUUGGCUGCACACGGUAUGGUGGGGUGCUA
rnacentral:other from 1 species